CGAUUGUCAAUUGGCACGAGCUUGUUCGGAAAGAGUUUCUCUGUAUGUGAUAUUAUACAAUUUCCCAGAAAGGACCAGGAAGGCGCUGUUUGAGAUGUCCCGCUCGUUGUGCGGUGUCUUCCCGCCAGCACGACUCAACAUUUCUACCUCUGUUACAACGUCACUGCUCCAGGAUCUCGAAGAGAUGUGAGUGCAGCAGUGAGAGGACGGAUACUACCCAAACAUUGUCAGUGUUCUUCUGCUUUGUUUGUAUUUGGCAGAGUGAAACAUUUAUCAGUGAUCAACUGCUACUCUGACUGUUUGGUGUCUCACACACACAGCAACACACAGCGUUGCCAUCCUCAAAAAGAGCAGCACACGAGGCAGCCAGCUGCUCCGGCGUCCCUGUGAUGGAGCGAAAUUUACGACCGCCGUCACUGGGAUUGUGUUUCUACAGGUCCGAGCACUCUGUUGUUCACCCGCUUCAAUCCAUGGAUUGUCAACACUAGGCUCCAUUGCCCUGAUACACACAAACAUAAACACUUGAUCCUAAGAGCCAUCAGCAGCUCCUCCUGUCUGUAGGGUUUUUGAAAAAAAUAAUUGUUGGUUUUCAAAAGCAGUUGGUUGAAGCACAACAGACAGAGACACCCAAAACACUAAAACAUAAUAUAUACACAUUGUGUUACAGACUGAUAUAAUUAAAAGUAAUCAACCCAUAGCAGGGAAUAAUCACAUAAAUGAUGAAUAUUAAUCAUCUGGUUUAUUGACGAUAUUACGUUUUGAUGGCC